ACAACGGUCCUUUUAAGGGCCACGCACUCUCUCCGAAGAGUUGAU
rfam:Gasterosteus aculeatus cont1.014963, whole genome shotgun sequence.